AGAGUUUGAUCCUGGCUCAGGAUGAACGCUGGCGGCGUGCUUAACACAUGCAAGUCGAACGAAGCAUUUUGGAAGAAGUCUUCGGACGGAUUUUGGGAUGACUGAGUGGCGGACGGGUGAGUAACGCGUGGGCAACCUGCCCUGUACAGGGGGAUAACAGCCGGAAACGGCUGCUAAUACCGCAUAAGCGCACGGGACCGCAUGGCCCUGUGUGAAAAGCUCCGGCAGUACAGGAUGGGCCCGCGUCUGAUUAGGCAGUUGGCGGGGUGACGGCCCACCAAACCGACGAUCAGUAGCCGACCUGAGAGGGUGACCGGCCACAUUGGGACUGAGACACGGCCCAAACUCCUACGGGAGGCAGCAGUGGGGAAUAUUGCACAAUGGGCGCAAGCCUGAUGCAGCGACGCCGCGUGAGCGAAGAAGUAUUUCGGUAUGUAAAGCUCUAUCAGCAGGGAAGAGAUGACGGUACCUGCACAAGAAGCUCCGGCUAAAUACGUGCCAGCAGCCGCGGUAAUACGUAUGGAGCAAGCGUUAUCCGGAAUUACUGGGUGUAAAGGGAGCGUAGACGGCAUGGCAAGUCUGGUGUGAAAGACCGGGGCUCAACCCCGGGCCUGCAUUGGAAACUGCCGGGCUGGAGUGCCGGAGAGGUAAGCGGAAUUCCUAGUGUAGCGGUGAAAUGCGUAGAUAUUAGGAGGAACACCAGUGGCGAAGGCGGCUUACUGGACGGUAACUGACGUUGAGGCUCGAAGGCGUGGGGAGCAAACAGGAUUAGAUACCCUGGUAGUCCACGCAGUAAACGA
rnacentral:rRNA from 1 species